rnacentral:lncRNA from 1 species
GCGAAUCUGGUACCGGGACUUGGGGAGCGAGGGAUGCAACAUGGUGCAUCUGGGAGGCCUGCUAACUGGCUAACUUCUCCGGCGUUCCUCCCGGCCGAGGCGUGGGCACAGAAUAGCGCAGGUGAGGCCCAGAUAUGGUGUCUCGAUACGGCGCGGAAGUUUGAAGACAUCAUUUUCCAGUUUUGGAGCCGACUAAUGAACUAGUUCUUAAGUGAAAGGCAUUUAACACGACUGUGCAUCUACAGGUACUAGGUUUCCAAGAUGCCUUUCCAGACUAAAACCCACACAUGUGAGCCGCUGGCCGGACAAACAUCUGGCACCUAACGUGGGGCUGAAAAACAGCAGAGGACAUUUGGAAGAAACACUGCUGGUUUGGAGCUCCAUAGAAGAAGAAAAUAAUUAAAGGAAAUUCAUACCAGAGAAGGAAGCUGCAGCUCCUCUCCUCUGGAUCUUUAUGACCACACCAGGAAGCAUUGUGAUCUGCAGUCACUGCCAACCUGCAGGAUAACACAGCUUGUUCCUCUGGGAACUGCCCUGCAGUGUCUGCAUACAGCCACCCUCGACCUGUCUGCCUGGUCUUUGCAACCUCUAGUGGCUGUUGUUCCACAAUGUGUUGUGAAGGCAUGCAUGUAAAAUAGUCCCUAUCUGGAUGGACCUACGCCUGUGGCAGGAAGUUCACUGGUCAAUUACCUGCUGACUGAAGUGGCCUAUUUUCUUCUGACCCCCUGCUUCUCUCUUCCCCUCUCCGCCCUGAAAGCUGUUUGGGCAUAGGGAGGUCUUGACCUGAGGAAACCAUCUUGGGUAACCAAGGCAAGGAAAGGGAAUAUGCAACACCUAGGAGAUUUCAGCAAACAGUAGAAUCAUGCCAACGUAAUCUGUGUUAAAAUGCUUGGAAUGUGGGAGCCGCCGGUGAUGUCUGUUGUCUGUGUGUCUCCAGUAAUCCUUUCUUUUUUAAGUGCAGCAAAGCCAAGCCUGGAAACCAGGCCAAGCGCCUGCCACUUACCUUAAAUUUAUCAGCCACUUUGAGAUUAAAACCCCUGAAAGCUGCUGCACAGUGAAAGCAAGGCCUCCUUCACAUUAAAGGCAAAUCGCAACUCUG